rnacentral:rRNA from 1 species
AGUGGACGCUGGCGGUAGGCCUAACACAUGCAAGUCGAACGGCAGCACAGUAGGAGCUUGCUCUUACGGGUGGCGAGUGGCGGACGGGUGAGGAAUACAUCGGAAUCUACUUUUUCGUGGGGGAUAACGUAGGGAAACUUACGCUAAUACCGCAUACGACCUACGGGUGAAAGCAGGGGAUCUUCGGACCUUGCGCGAUUGAAUGAGCCGAUGUCGGAUUAGCUAGUUGGCGGGGUAAAGGCCCACCAAGGCGACGAUCCGUAGCUGGUCUGAGAGGAUGAUCAGCCACACUGGAACUGAGACACGGUCCAGACUCCUACGGGAGGCAGCAGUGGGGAAUAUUGGACAAUGGGCGCAAGCCUGAUCCAGCCAUACCGCGUGGGUGAAGAAGGCCUUCGGGUUGUAAAGCCCUUUUGUUGGGAAAGAAAAGCAGCAGGUUAAUACCCCGCUGUUCUGACGGUACCCAAAGAAUAAGCACCGGCUAACUUCGUG